ACCCUUUAAGUUAAAUUGUCAACUCGAACAUUGCAAACUUCGCUGGUCUCGACAUAGGCUACAAAGCUUCGAGUACGCAAACCUGCCGUAAGCUAAUUCUUUUGCUUUUGCCAGUAAUAUUUGAGAAACUAUGGUGUCUUCUAAAGCAUUUUUCGUUUCAUUCCUGGUUUCUUGCGUUCUUCUCUCGGUUUACUGUCAAAAAGCUGAGGAACAGGGGCUUCCCGGCAUUCGCUGGGGGAGACAUUUUCAAGAGGAUGACCUCACUCAAAGAGGUGGAGAAGGAAAGCUUUGGAGAGUAAUGGAGCAAAAAAGAAACCAUCAUUAUCGAUUUAACGAUGGAGUCCAAAAGCAAGAAUCGUAGGAACAGUAAAAAAAUCCUCAAUUAAAAACCUUCGUGAACAAAAGGGAUCCCUGUCUGUUAAAUACAUGAUACUUCAUCAACUGAGAGUUCAUGACUUUUAAAGAAAUACUAGAAUCAGUUCUGUGUUUGGAGAGCACAUCAAGUCGUGUGAUAAAUGAGUUCUCCGUACAUGCCACGUCAGUGAUUAACUUCUAAUGUAAAUGUAGGCUUAUCUUUGCUAUUAUCCCCAGCCUAUGAUAUUCGGAUAUUGUCAUAAGUCACUAAAUAAAUUGCUGCCUUUGAUCCCGAAAAGUCUAUUUCAUUGUUCCAUCCGAAUAUUCAAUUCAAUAAGUUUCCUAACGUAACAUACGUCAAUUUAUAUUCUUAAGAUUGUAUGUAAGCAUGACUAUAAUAUUCUGAUUAAUUUCUCUGAAAGCAAGCACAUUUAAAAGGAGAUAGAAGGGGUUAUACGAAAUAAAUGUGGCAGGUUUCUAAAGAAACUGCGGUAGGUGAGUAUAAAAGGGUAAUUUAACACUAUCAACAACUGAGUUGAUAACGUAAAGUGACCUCCGUAUAAAGUUUCAAAGCUGACGUUUCGAGCGUGAGCCCUUCGUCAUUCGCUCGUUGGUUAUACGAAAUAAUCAAUUUGAAUAAAAAAUUAUCCUCUUCCGACACAUGUCUCAUAGAAGAAACUUUCAGUUGGAAACAUUGUGCCUGAGAUCAGUCGUUUUGGUUGCUGUUUUUAAGCUUGAAAUUCGUAGCUGAAGUUUAGCCCAUGAUACUUUUAUGCUUUGUUGCAAAUUACAUUUUGAACAGUCUAUAGUUUUCUCGGUCUUUCCAUAACAUUUUUCAUUUUUUCAAUUUAAAAAAAAAAUUGUCAGGCUUAAACAACGUUUAGCGUGACGGUCAGAACGGAAAUUCUCAGGAAAUCAAUUUGCGAAAUCUUAUUAUGAAGUCAAAUAAGAGUUUAAACUUUUUUUUAACGGUUUGAGCUCUUCUUUAUUCAUUGUUACUUUAUUGUUACCCUGUUUCAUUAUUUCUACUCACACAAUGUGGCUAAGAUUCCUCUAUAACUGCGGCAUGACCAAGCUAAUUCUAUAUGAUAAAAACCCUAUUAGCGCAAACUUUUUUUUAG
rnacentral:lncRNA from 1 species